rnacentral:rRNA from 1 species
CCUACGGGAGGCAGCAGUGGGGAAUAUUGCACAAUGGGGGAAACCCUGAUGCAGCGACGCCGCGUGAAGGAUGAAGUAUUUCGGUAUGUAAACUUCUAUCAGCAGGGAAGAAAAUGAGGGUACCUGACUAUGAAGCCCCGGCGAACUACGUGCCAGCAGCCGCGGGAAUACGUAGGGGGCAAGCGUUAUCCGGAUUUACUGGGGGGAAAGGGAGCGUAGACGGCAUGGCAAGUCUGAUGUGAAAACCCGGGGCUCAACCCCGGGACUGCAUUGGAAACUGUCAGGCUAGAGUGUCGGAGAGGCAAGUGGAAUUCCAAGUGUAGCGGUGAAAUGCGUAGAUAUUAGGAGGAACACCAGUGGCGAAGGCGGCUUGCUGGACGAUAACUGACGUUGAGGCUCGAAAGCGUGGGGAGCAAACAGGAUUAGAUACCCCUGUAGUC